AAGGCUUUAAGUUAAAUAAACUAAUAUCCUUCAAAGUUAUAAAUAAAGGCUCCUUCUUUAAGUCUUA
rnacentral:tRNA from 1 species